UACGUAGGGUGCAAGCGUUGUCCGGAAUUAUUGGGCGUAAAGAGCUCGUAGGCGGUUUGUCGCGUCUGCUGUGAAAACCCGAGGCUCAACCUCGGGCCUGCAGUGGGUACGGGCAGACUAGAGUGCGGUAGGGGAGAUUGGAAUUCCUGGUGUAGCGGUGGAAUGCGCAGAUAUCAGGAGGAACACCGAUGGCGAAGGCAGAUCUCUGGCCCGAUACUGACGCUGAGGCACGAAAGCGUGGGGAGCAAACAGG
rnacentral:rRNA from 1 species